rnacentral:misc_RNA from 1 species
GAAAGAAGCAUGGGAAACAAACCUCCAAAAUUUUGAAGAAUCAUGAUGAUUGAGAUAUGGGGCAUUGUAGGCAGAAAAUAAGCAACUUGUGGGCAAGAUAUACAAAAAGAAUUAAAAGAGUUCAAACAACGGUAUAAAAAGCUGAAGGAAGAGCAUGACUCAUUCCGCGACCUUGCUGAUAGAAUGAUUGGAAAGAAGGAUAAAGAAAUCUCUAAACUUGUU